UAAUUUCCCCCGGGGUAUGCCCAAUAUAAGCAAUUUUUCAUUGAGUAACCUAGUCGUUCUUGAUGUUUCAAGGAGUAAAAUUACUCACGAUUGGAAUGGAUGGAGACAUAUCAAGAGAGCAAUGAAAUUAAAAGUUCUUGACCUUUCGGAAUGUGUGCUCUUGACCAAGACUCCUGAUUUCUCAGGAUUCCCGACGUUGGAGAGAUUGAUUCUUGAGGGUUGUGAAAGAUUGGCUAAAAUCGACUCGUCGGUCGGU